rnacentral:rRNA from 1 species
GACGAACGCUGGCGGCGUGCUUAACACAUGCAAGUCGAACGGAAAGGCCCUGCUUUUGUGGGGUGCUCGAGUGGCGAACGGGUGAGUAACACGUGAGUAACCUGCCCUUGACUUUGGGAUAACUUCAGGAAACUGGGGCUAAUACCGGAUAGGAGCUCCUGCUGCAUGGUGGGGGUUGGAAAGUUUCGGCGGUUGGGGAUGGACUCGCGGCUUAUCAGCUUGUUGGUGGGGUAGUGGCUUACCAAGGCUUUGACGGGUAGCCGGCCUGAGAGGGUGACCGGCCACAUUGGGACUGGAAUGCGGCCCAGACUCCUACGGGAGGCAGCAGUGGGGAAUAGUGCACAAGGGGCGGAAGCCUGAUGCAGCAACGCCGCGUGCGGGGUGACGGCCUGCGGGUUGUAAACCGCUGUCGCCUGUGACGAAGCGUGAGUGACGGUAAUGGGUAAAGAAGCACCGGCUAACUACGUG